CCUACGGGAGGCAGCAGUGAGGAAUAUUGGUCAAUGGACGAGAGUCUGAACCAGCCAAGUAGCGUGAAGGAUGACUGCCCUAUGGGUUGUAAACUUCUUUUAUAUGGGAAUAAAAUGUUCCACGUGUGGGAUUUUGUAUGUACCAUAUGAAUAAGGAUCGGCUAACUCCGUGCCAGCAGCCGCGGUAAUACGGAGGGUCCGAGCGUUAUCCGGAUUUAUUGGGUUUAAAGGGAGCGUAGGUGGAGUGUUAAGUCAGUUGUGAAAGUUUGCGGCUCAACCGUAAAAUUGCAGUUGAAACUGGCAGUCUGGAGUACAGUAGAGGUGGGUGGAAUUCGUGGUGUAGCGGUGAAAUGCUUAGAUAUCACGAAGAACUCCGAUUGCGAAGGCAGCUCACUGGACUGCAACUGACACUGAGGCUCGAAAGUGUGGGUAUCAAACAGGAUUAGAUACCCCAGUAGUC
rnacentral:rRNA from 1 species